rnacentral:rRNA from 1 species
AGAGUUUGAUCCUGGCUCAGAACGAACGCUGGCGGCAUGCCUAACACAUGCAAGUCGAACGAAGCCUUCGGGCUUAGUGGCGCACGGGUGCGUAACGCGUGGGAAUCUGCCCCUGGGUUCGGAAUAACAGUUAGAAAUGACUGCUAAUACCGGAUAAUGACGUAAGUCCAAAGAUUUAUCGCCCAGGGAUGAGCCCGCGUAGGAUUAGCUAGUUGGUGGGGUAAAGGCUCACCAAGGCGACGAUCCUUAGCUGGUCUGAGAGGAUGAUCAGCCACACUGGGACUGAGACACGGCCCAGACUCCUACGGGAGGCAGCAGUGGGGAAUAUUGGACAAUGGGCGAAAGCCUGAUCCAGCAAUGCCGCGUGAGUGAAGAAGGCCUUCGGGUUGUAAAGCUCUUUUACCCGGGAAGAUAAUGACUGUACCGGGAGAAUAAGCCCCGGCUAACUCCGUGCCAGCCGCCGCGGUAAUAC